rnacentral:rRNA from 1 species
UACGUAGGGGGCUAGCGUUGUCCGGAAUCAUUGGGCGUAAAGCGCGUGUAGGCGGCCCGGCAAGUCCGCUGUGAAAGUCGGGGGCUCAACCCUCGGAUGCCGGUGGAUACUGUCGGGCUAGAGUGCGGAAGGGGCGAGUGGAAUUCCUGGUGUAGCGGUGAAAUGCGCAGAUAUCAGGAGGAACACCAAUUGCGAAGGCAGCUCGCUGGGACGUGACUGACGCUGAGACGCGAAAGCGUGGGGAGCAAACAGG